CCCGGGUAUAUAAGCAACUAAAUAACCCUAAAUUUCAUAAUCCAAGUCUCUUGCCACCACCAUCUUCCAUCUCUAAUCGCCACCAUCGCGUUUUUUGUCUGUCACCGCCACGUUUUACAAACCCUAGAUAUCAACACAGAUUCAGCAUUUGUUUGAAGGUUUAAAUCGAACAAUUGAUAUGAUGCUGAUAUAUAGAAGAAAUAUAUAUUUCUUGUCCUAUGUUGAGUUAUCAAUUGUUGCAGGUUUGUUUAGGAUCAUUAAAAACAAACUUUAAUCCAUCAAUUCUUGAUCAAUCUGAUGUGUAAGUCAAGCAAACUGAUAAAAGGGAAUGUGUAACGGCGACCCACCAGAUCCGGGGAUAGAGGGACGCAUAUGGUAUCAGACGAGACGAGACGGUGAUGAUUCUGACCAAGAAUCAUAUGGUGGUACAAGGUGAUGGCGUUUUAGGUGAUGAAAGUUCAGAUGUCUUUGCAACAAACUCAAAUGGACAGGUUCUAUUUACUAAUUAGUUUACUGUGGAUGCGGUCAUCAAUUCGAAAUCUAGCCAGGAGGAUGUGUUUCAGUUGGUUGGUAUUUCCAUGGUUAAGUGUGCAAUGGUAGCUUACAACACUUCUAUGGUGGCUUAUGCACAAGUACUUUUUUCACUAUUUGGUGACAAGAUGGCUGACUCAAUGGAUAUGGGUGGACAUUUAUACACAUACAAUGAAGGUAGAACUUCAUACCUAUAUUUUUGUGUAGUAAUUCAAAAUGGUCGGACAUUUAUAUGUUGGUAUUUCAAUGGAUAUGGGUGGACAUUUAUACACAUACAAUGAAGAUUUGAGUUAAUCACGGAUGCUUGAUUGUGUGUGCUGGCAAUCGGAUGCAACUGUAGCCAACUUCAGUCAUUGAACCUAGGAUGGUUAGUCGGUUUUGCGUUAUUCGGGUUCGGGUCGGGUUGUUCGGUUUUCGGGUUUCGAUGUAAAAUGAAAAAUUUAAGUUUUUUUUACAAGAUAUCAUAAAAUUCAUAUUGCUACUUUAAAAAUAUCAUCAAAGUUCAAACUCUAUUUGACAAUACGCUAUUAUAAUAUUUAAAAGUCCCAAAACUUAAUGUUUCAUAUAUAAAAGACUCCAAACCAAAACACUUCUAUAAGAAAAAAACAAUAAAUGUUCAGGUUUUUUGUCGGGUUUCGGGUUUUCGGGUCGGGUUGUUCGGGGUUUUGGUAGGGAAAAAGUGACCCGAUAACCGAACCAUUUAAAGUUCGGGUUGGUCGGGUUCGGGUUUUUCGGAUAUUCCCUAAUUCGGGUUCGGGUGGCUUUGAAUUCGGGUCGGGUUUCGGGUUUUGGAUAAAAAUGAACAGUCCUACUCUCAAGGGUAUCAUAAGGCUUCAAGCUUUAGUUCUUGGCCACUUGGUUAUGAGACAGGCUGUUGUUACUUUGAGAUGCAUGCGUGCAAUUAUUGAGUUCCAACCGUUGACUCGUGGCCGUAUGGUCAGACUUACUAAUGGUCAACUGCUUAAAAACAGACUUCAACAGUAUUUGCGGUAAUUCCCUCUUCUUUAUUAUCUUUAAUUAGUUCGAGUGCUAGCUUAAUGCCCGAUAAGCUGAAGAUUCAAGAAUUAAUGCGGAAUCAAAUGCAUCAAAUGGUGAGGAUAAAAUCAAGCUAGAGCAAGCUACCACAAAAGCACAGCUGCACAGGCUGCUUUCAGGGGCUAUUUGGUAAUAUUAUUGAGCUUGAUUUAUUUUUUUUUUCAAUGGAAUAUGCUGAAUGUUUAGGGUUUGUUUAAGUUGUUAACUUUAUGUUAUUAUUAAAAUUGGUUAGCAAUUCAUAAUACACUGAGCGAUAAUAUAACGUAGCUCUUAAGUUGCAUUGUAGGGGAUAACAUUCUCUCUAACAUCAACCUUAUCUGUUAAAUCAUAAGCAAUUUCCUGAAGUUUUUAGAUCUUAAGUUUGUGGUUCGGGGGUCUAACUAAUAAAUGGGUAUCAAGUUUCAAUAAAGUUUCUGCUUUGCAUAGUGAACACAUCCUACAGUUUUUUGCAUGUUUGACUUUUGUUAACCAUAAGACCCCGCUACCAGAAAACUCACGGGACCUGCAAAUACCCUGCUAAAAAACAGGAUCAUGAAUCUUUUAACUCGUGUUUUGCAUGUUGCUGGACAUGUUUGGCAUCUACACGUGUCUCAUCUUUGUAUAUCUCCAUUCCACAUUUACUUUCAUUCUUUUCAUGGUUAUGCAAUAUUAUGCCUUAAAUCGUGUUUUUACAUUAUUGAGUCUGUUUAUCUUUUAUACGCUAAGUAAUUAACCAUACAUGUUCUAUAAAGAACAUUUCGGGCUCUCAAGUAGGGGUGUUCAUCGGGUUUUUUUCUUCGGGUUUCGGGUUUUUCGGGUGGGGUUGUUCGGGUUUUUGUCUAGGAAAAAUUGAACCAAUAACCGACCCAUUUAAAGUUCGGGUUAGUCGGUUUUGGGUUAUUCGGGUUCGGGUUAGUUCGGGUCAGGUUGUUCGGUUUUCGGGUUUCGAUGUAAAAUGAAAAAUUUAAGUUUUUUUUACAAGAUAUCAUAAAAUUCAUAUUGCUACUUUAAAAAUAUUAUCAAAGUUCAGACUUUAUUUGACAAUAUGCUAUUAUAAUAUUUAAAAGUCCCAAAACUUAAUGUUUCAUAUAUUAAAGACUCCAAACCAAAACACUUCUAUAAGAAAAAAACUAUAAAUGUUCAGGUUUUUUGUCGGGUUUCGUGUUUCGGGUUUUUCGGGUCGGGUUGUUCGGGUUUUUGGUAGGGAAAAAGUGACCCGGUAACCGAACCAUUUAAAUUUCGGGUUGGUCGGGUUCGGGUUUCUCGGGUUCGGGUUUCUCGGGUUCGGGCUUUUCGAAUAUUCCCUAAUUCGGGUUCGGUGGCUUUGAAUUCGGGUCGGUUUUUGGAUAAAAAUGAACAGUCCUACUCUCAAGGGCAUCAUAAGGCUUCAAGCUUUAGUUCGUGGCCACUUAGUUAGGAGACAGGCUGUUGUUACUUUGAGAUGCAUGCGUGCAAUUAUUGAGUUCCAAGCGUUGACUCGUGGCCGUAUGGUCAGACUUACUAAUGGUCAACUGCUUAAAAACAGACUUCAACAGCAUUUGUGGUCAAAAUUGUUUUGUUUGUUCUGGGUCACACUUCUGAAAUAUGGAACUACAUUGGGCAUGAGGAUUUCGUUGGCUUGUCAAAAAAAAGGAAGAUAACUUUGCUUCAAGAAGUGGGCCAAGUUCUGGAUGCAAAGAUUGACUAGAAGGCAUUGGUCAAACAAAAGCAAGGGAAUACUAUAUGUUGUGGCACCAUUUGGACAACGACGGCAAACGUACUAAUAAAACCACAAAUGUAGUUUAUAAAGAAGUAUUUAGGAAUUUGUGAUUUUCAUGUACUCACUUAUCAAUAAUUUUUUAUUUCAGUAUCAUUUUUACACGUUUAAAUUGAAAAGUGAUUUCAUAACAAA